GCACGUGACUGCUAAUAAACUGCCUCUGUGGUCAGAACUGUCUCAGUGCCGAGCAGGGUGGUGCUGACUUUGAGGAGGCUUCUGGGACAUCUAAGGAGGAGACUCAGCAACUCCUCAGGAUACUGUGGAACCAUGGAAGCUCUUAGAAGAAUGGAGUAAAUGGGCAGAGCUGUGCUUAAUAUUUAUCAGAUGUUGUUUAGAAGGAAAGACAAGCUGAGGAUACCCGACUCUACAGGAGAAAGGCUCGGCUGCUACAUGCACCCUACUCUUCCUUGCAAUGGAGAAGCCCACUGGGGUUGUAAGAAAGGGUGAGGCUGAGAAGCCAGCCACAUGGGGUGGUCCAGCCAGGCAGAGCCUCGGAAGGAUGGAAGGAGAGGUCACACUGGCUGACUCCAUAGCUGACUUUCAAGCCACUUCUCUGCUUCCCAUUGGAAGGGUGGGCUUGGUGACCACUCCAGCUUCCAAGAGAGGAUUUUCAUGGAGCCCAAGGAGCACCAGCAGCCAGCUUAUGCUAUGAUGCUGCUUUACCCCAAAAGGACACACAUGGGACUGUGUGAGCAUGGAUCCUCUUUCUGCUUCUGUGAAGGGGACAAGCCAGGUGAGAGGAGACAACUUGCCUUUAAUAAUUAAGUUCCUGCAGUCUUGAGCUCCUGGCCCUGAGCAAUAGGUGAGUGCCGGUGACCUAUGAUCUGAAACACUACAGAUUUUGGGGUUCCCUCCCCCCCAAAGGGGACGCAGAGUAGAAGUGCCGAAAGUAGAGUGUGAAGACGAGCCUAACACUUUCCUGUGGAUAGUAUCCCAGCCCGGACUGCCAUGGAUUUCAUCUCCAACCCCGCCUGCCUGGUGCCCCCCUCCAGGCUGUGACCCCAGCAUGAAUGACAGAAGUGGUGAGAGGUGUUCAGAAGAUUAAAGGCCCAAGUGACUGGAGGCUGCGGUCUCGCAAGAAUAUUUAGACGUUUUCCACUUGGCAGUCAUUAAUAUUCUCCAGCAAAAGAUGCACAGAAACCCUGUUCAAAAAGGUUCCCUCUUCAGAUUUCUGUGCCUUGGAAGAUAAAGUGAAUGCUAGGGUUUUGUUUUGAAAUUAAAUAUUCAUUAGACUGGGUUAGAGCCAUUACCGUUCUUGAGAAUAAAACUGAAUUUUUGCCUUCGUUUUAAAACAACUACAGUCAUUUUGCUUAAGAAUAAAUUUCUGUCCCGAA